GUUUUGCGUGAGGGAUAGGAGCGACAUCCUGGCUUUGUGAGAUUACCGCGCAAGCUCGCAAUGACAGAUACAGCGGAUAGCCCGUUCGCCG
rnacentral:misc_RNA from 1 species